CUUUCUGCUUGUAUUCAAUAUUUACAUAAGAAAAAGCUCGCGUAUGAGAAAAAUAAAUAAUAAUAAUAAUAAGAAGAAGAAAAGACUCUUACCCUGGGCUGUUCCACUGGGCAUGAACCUGUCAUUAUUUUACUAAAUGGUCUAAAUAAUGGAGGUUGUAAGGAAGAGAAUGAAAGUGUGGUCACACAUUUUGUCGUGGAGUAAAUUGCUGGCUCUUAACCCUUUUCCUUCCAGGAAUUGUCAAGUUCCCUCUGCCAGCUCCAUGUGUUGUUCUCACCACUCGGUCUUGAUCCUCUCAGAUAAUGAGCAACUUCUGAGUGGAAAGGGAGCUCACUUCUAGGGGAAGGUAUUUCAGCUUUUCCUAGGAGCAAGAUCUAAAAUGUGUGGGUGCAAAUGGACCACAGACAUUACGUAUUUGAUAGUUAUAGGGACAUAUUCCAUAUGGUAUUGAAAGGACAUUCCUGUUUAUCCUGUAUACGGCCAUCGUGGGGAGGCUCGUGUUAGCCCUAGAUCUUUCCCUCAUUAUUUCAAGCGUUCUUCAUCUGUUUGUUGAAAUCAGUCUGUUUUGCCCAGGUUUGGCAUGCAGAUGGAAGAAAGGCAAGGCUACAUUUUACUGUUCUAAAAUGAAAUGCUUGCAGCCUCCCAAAAAAUCCAGGUCAUGAAGAGGAAAGAGCUAGAGCGAGAAAGAACAACUUUGUGAACUGCAGUAGGAAUAUUUACUCUCUCUCCAUUUUUGUCUGACGGACAGUCAAGAUAAAUACCCAGUCUGUCGGUGUCCGUGCAUGAGUUUAUUCAAUGUGCUUGCAAAAUAUGCAAUGUGUUUGUUCACUUUCUCAAGCACCUCAUCAAAAAUCUAUUUACCUGUAACUCCUGGCAUUUGUCAAUGGUUUUUACCUAUUUCUAUAGCUCUGGAGUCAUUAAAACCUGUAUCAUUUGCCCUA